CCACCAAGUGAAGUGCAAGAAUCCAGAUCAUUGAAGUCCACCUUAUCACAACCCGCACACCCGAUUACCUAUAUAUACAUGAACUUACGGUUACAGCUAAACAGCUGACCUCUGUAGCUCAGUUGGUUAGAGCGCUGCACCGGAAUCGCAGGGCCGUAGGUUCAAUUCCUACCAGAGGACCUUCUGCUGCAUUUUUCGCAGUCGUUCCUGGUUAGGUCUUAAAAA